GUACGGCGAGUGAACAGGCAAGAGCUCAGAUUUGAAAGGCACUUUUGUGCCGUUGUAUUCUGAAGUUAGGGUCCUGAGAAACGAUGCUUAAGUCUUCUGGAAAGGAGCGCCAUGGAGGGUGAUAGCCCCGUCUAGCAUUGACCUCAUAUAGGAUCUUAACAUGGAGUCGAGUUGUUUGGGAAUGCAGCUCAAAUGGGUGGUAUGCUCCAUCUAAAGCUAAAUAUCUGCGAGAGACCGAUAGUAAACAAGUACUGUGAGGGAAAGAUGAAAAGAACUUUGAAAAGAGAGUGAAAAAGUACGUGAAAUUGUUGAAAUGGAAGGGUAGGCCGCUAACCAUGUAGAGCCGUGUUUGGGGGGAAGAUAAAUGCUGUAGAAUGUAGCUCCUCGGAGUAUUAUAGAUGCAGUUCAUAUUCCCACCCGAGCGCGAGGAUCUCAGGUUCUACUAAAUGGUGGUCUACCACCCGUCUUGA
rnacentral:rRNA from 1 species